UGCAUCGGCCGAGAAUCGAACCCGGGGCGCCCGUGUGGCAGGCGAGCAUUCUACCACUGAACCAAAAGC
rnacentral:tRNA from 1 species